ACUUUUUAAUGUGUUGAUGCUUGAAUAGAGCUAUUCUCAAGCUGGAAUAACUGAGACUGAAUGGACAAGUGGAUCUUCAAAAGGCGGACCUCUGCAGGCAUUAACUAGGGAAUCUACAAGAGGGUCAAGAAGAACUCCAAGGAAAAGGGUGGAAACUUCAGAACAUUUUCGUAUAGAAGGUCCAGUAAUUUCAGAGAGUACUCCCAUAGCUGAAACUAUAAUGGCUUCAAGCAACGAAUCCUUAGUUGUCAAUAGGGUGACUGGAAAUUUCAAGCAUGCAUCUCCUAUUCUGCCAAUCACUGAAUUCUCAGACAUACCCAGAAGAGCACCAAAGAAACCAUUGACAAGAGCUGAAGUGGGAGAAAAAACAGAGGAAAGAAGAGUAGAAAGGGAUAUUCUUAAGGAAAUGUUCCCCUAUGAAGCAUCUACACCAACAGGAAUUAGUGCUAGUUGCCGCAGACCAAUCAAAGGGGCUGCAGGCCGGCCAUUAGAACUCAGUGAUUUCAGGAUGGAGGAGUCUUUUUCAUCUAAAUAUGUUCCUAAGUAUGUUCCCUUCGCAGAUGUCAAGUCAGAAAAGACAAAAAAGGGACGCUCCAUUCCCGUAUGGAUAAAAAUUUUGCUGUUCGUUGUUGUGGCAGUUUUUUUGUUUUUGGUCUAUCAAGCUAUGGAAACCAACCAAGUAAAUCCCUUCUCUAAUUUUCUUCAUGUUGACCCUAGAAAAUCCAACUGAAUGGUA
rnacentral:sRNA from 1 species